GAACGCUGGCGGCGUGCCUAAUACAUGCAAGAUGAGCGCUGAAGGUUGGUACUUGUACCACCUGGAUGAGCAGCGAACGGGUGAGUAACGCGUGGGGAAUCUGCCUUUGAGCGGGGGACAACAUUUGGAAACGAAUGCUAAUACCGCAUAAAAACUUUAAACACAAGUUUUAAGUUUGAAAGAUGCAAUUGCAUCACUCAAAGAUGAUCCCGCGUUGUAUUAGCUAGUUGGUGAGGUAAAGGCUCACCAAGGCGAUGAUACAUAGCCGACCUGAGAGGGUGAUCGGCCACAUUGGGACUGAGACACGGCCCAAACUCCUACGGGAGGCAGCAGUAGGGAAUCUUCGGCAAUGGACGAAAGUCUGACCGAGCAACGCCGCGUGAGUGAAGAAGGUUUUCGGAUCGUAAAACUCUGUUGGUAGAGAAGAACGUUGGUGAGAGUGGAAAGCUCAUCAAGUGGCGGUAACUACCCAGAAAGGGACGGCUAACUACGUG
rnacentral:rRNA from 1 species